rnacentral:rRNA from 1 species
AUUGAACGCUGGCGGCAUGCUUUACACAUGCAAGUCGAACGGUAACAGGCCGCAAGGUGCUGACGAGUGGCGAACGGGUGAGUAAUGCAUCGGAACGUGCCCAGUCGUGGGGGAUAACGCAGCGAAAGCUGCGCUAAUACCGCAUACGAUCUAUGGAUGAAAGCGGGGGACCGUAAGGCCUCGCGCGAUUGGAGCGGCCGAUGUCAGAUUAGGUAGUUGGUGGGGUAAAGGCCUACCAAGCCAACGAUCUGUAGCUGGUCUGAGAGGACGACCAGCCACACUGGGACUGAGACACGGCCCAGACUCCUACGGGAGGCAGCAGUGGGGAAUUUUGGACAAUGGGCGCAAGCCUGAUCCAGCAAUGCCGCGUGCAGGAAGAAGGCCUUCGGGUUGUAAACUGCUUUUGUACGGAACGAAACGGCUCUGGUUAAUACCUGGGGCUAAUGACGGUACCGUAAGAAUAAGCACCGGCUAACUACGUGCCAGCAGCCGCAGUAACAC